UUGCACGCUGGCGGCAGGCCUCACACAUGCAAGUCGCGCGGAUGAAGGGAGCUUGCUCCUGGAUUCAGCGGCGGACGGGUGAGUAAUGCCUAGGAAUCUGCCUGGUAGUGGGGGAUAACGUCCGGAAACGGGCGCUAAUACCGCAUACGUCCUGAGGGAGAAAGUGGGGGAUCUUCGGACCUCACGCUAUCAGAUGAGCCUAGGUCGGAUUAGCUAGUUGGUGGGGUAAAGGCCUACCAAGGCGACGAUCCGUAACUGGUCUGAGAGGAUGAUCAGUCACACUGGAACUGAGACACGGUCCAGACUCCUACGGGAGGCAGCAGUGGGGAAUAUUGGACAAUGGGCGAAAGCCUGAUCCAGCCAUGCCGCGUGUGUGAAGAAGGUCUUCGGAUUGUAAAGCACUUUAAGUUGGGAGGAAGGGCAGUAAGUUAAUACCUUGCUGUUUUGACGUUACCAACAGAAUAAGCACCGGCUAACUUCGUG
rnacentral:rRNA from 1 species